ACGAAGGGGGCUAGCGUUGUUCGGAAUUACUGGGCGUAAAGCGCACGUAGGCGGAUUUGUAAGUCAGGGGUGAAAUCCCGGGGCUCAACCUCGGAACUGCCUUUGAUACUGCAAGUCUUGAGUCCGGAAGAGGUGAGUGGAAUUCCUAGUGUAGAGGUGAAAUUCGUAGAGAUAUGGAAGAACACCAGCGGCGAAGGCGCUCUACUGGGCCAAGACUGACACUGAGAAACGAAAGCUGGGGGAGCGAAAAGGA
rnacentral:rRNA from 1 species